rnacentral:pre_miRNA from 1 species
UAAAUACUCCCUUCGUCCAAAAAUACUUGUCAUCAAAAUGGAUAAAAAGAGAUGUAUCUAAAACUAAAAUACGUCUAGAUACAUUUCCUUUUAUCCAUUUUGAUGAAAAGUAUUUCCGGACGGAGGGAGUAUUUG